CCUACGGGAGGCAGCAGUGAGGAAUAUUGGUCAAUGGGCUUACGCCUGAACCAGCCAAGUCGCGUGAGGGAAGACUGCCCUAUGGGUUGUAAACCUCUUUUGUCAGGGAGCAACGCCGGCUACGUGUAGCCGGACUGAGAGUACCUGAAGAAAAAGCAUCGGCUAACUCCGUGCCAGCAGCCGCGGUAAUACGGAGGAUGCGAGCGUUAUCCGGAUUUAUUGGGUUUAAAGGGUGCGUAGGCGGAAUGCCAAGUCAGCGGUAAAAUCGCGGGGCUCAACCUCGCUCCGCCGUUGAAACUGGCGUGCUUGAGUGGGCGAGAAGUAGGCGGAAUGCGUAGUGUAGCGGUGAAAUGCAUAGAUAUCACGCAGAACUCCGAUUGCGAAGGCAGCAUACCGGCGCCCAACUGACGCUGAAGCACGAAAGCGUGGGUAUCGAACAGGAUUAGAUACCCUUGUAGUC
rnacentral:rRNA from 1 species